rnacentral:rRNA from 1 species
GCGGCGGACGGGUGAGUAAUGCCUAGGAAUCUGCCUAGUAGUGGGGGAUAACUUGCCGAAAGGUAAGCUAAUACCGCAUACGUCCUACGGGAGAAAGCAGGGGACUCUUCGGAGCCUUGCGCUAUUAGAUGAGCCUAGGUCGGAUUAGUUAGUUGGUGAGGUAAUGGCUCACCAAGACUGCGAUCCGUAACUGGUCUGAGAGGAUGAUCAGUCACACUGGAACUGAGACACGGUCCAGACUCCUACGGGAGGCAGCAGUGGGGAAUAUUGGACAAUGGGGGAAACCCUGAUCCUGCCAUGCCGCGUGUGUGAAGAAGGUCUUAGGAUUGUAAAGCACUUUAAGUUGGGAGGAAGGGCAGUUAACUAAUACUUGACUGUUUUGACGUUACCGACAGAAUAAGCACCGGCUAACUUCGUGCCAGCAGCCGCGGUAAUACGAAGGGUGCAAGCGUUAAUCGGAAUUACUGGGCGUAAAGCGCGCGUAGGUGGUUCGUUAAGUUAGGAGUGAAAGCCCCGG